GAUGAACGCUGACAGAAUGCUUAACACAUGCAAGUCUACUUGAACUUCGGUUUGGGUGGCGGACGGGUGAGUAACGCGUAAAGAACUUGCCUCACAGUUAGGGACAACAUUUGGAAACGAAUGCUAAUACCUGAUAUUAUGAUUUUAGGGCAUCCUAAGAUUAUGAAAGCUAUAUGCGCUGUGAGAGAGCUUUGCGUCCCAUUAGCUAGUUGGAGAGGUAACGGCUCACCAAGGCGAUGAUGGGUAGCCGGCCUGAGAGGGUGAACGGCCACAAGGGGACUGAGACACGGCCCUUACUCCUACGGGAGGCAGCAGUGGGGAAUAUUGGACAAUGGACCAAAAGUCUGAUCCAGCAAUUCUGUGUGCACGAUGACGUUUUUCGGAAUGUAAAGUGCUUUCAGUUGGGAAGAAAAAAUGACGGUACCAACAGAAGAAGUGACGGCUAAAUACGUGCCAGCAGCCGCGGUAAUACGUAUGUCACAAGCGUUAUCCGGAUUUAUUGGGCGUAAAGCGCGUCUAGGUGGUUAUGUAAGUCUGAUGUGAAAAUGCAGGGCUCAACUCUGUAUUGCGUUGGAAACUGCAUGACUAGAGUACUGGAGAGGUAAGCGAAACUACAAGUGUAGAGGUGAAAUUCGUAGAUAUUUGUAGGAAUGCCGAUGGGGAAGCCAGCUUACUGGACAGAUACUGACGCUAAAGCGCGAAAGCGUGGGUAGCAAACAGG
rnacentral:rRNA from 1 species